rnacentral:lncRNA from 1 species
AUAGUUCAUUGGGUGCCUUUUUAAUAGUUUUUUUUUUUUUGGGGGGAUAAGUAGCACGCUACCAGCUUUAUUUAUUUCAUAUAAAAAUAAACUUAGCUGAAAAUGUGAAUCAACUAGGAUUCGAACUUGGGACCUCGGGUACCAACCACCAAGCCCUUUGCCACUUGCUGUAAGGACAGUCAGUGCGUUUUAAUAGUAAAACUUAAAAACAACG